AUGAUGGACGUUUGAUUUCAGUAACCAGGACCGCCCUCUUUUCUCUAAUUGGCUGCGGCUUCUUUAAAGACAGAGGUGACGUCAAGAGCUCCUCGGAGGUUCGCGCGCACGAGCUCGGAGGUGGUCAUUACAACGUGUGUGUUCAAGUGGUUUUGGUCAGAAAUAUGGACGGCGUGAGAAGAAUUCUGUUGUUUUUAUAAUCAUUUUCAUCAAGUUUCAAGAAGUUUAUUCGACUGUUUAUAAUAGUUAAUAUACAAAAUAACAUAAAAUCCAAGUCUUUUUAAUCUAACCAUCUUGGUAUAAUGGUUAGCACAUUUACCUCACGCGCGCGAGUUGGGGGUCGAUUCCCGCCUCUGUCCUGUAUUUUCAAUUAUGUUCAAGUCAGGGGACUGUGAGGGCCGCUCCAAAAGCUUCAGCUUGCAUUUCCUGAAGUAGCUCAUGGUGGACUUUGAGAAUUUGCUGAUAUUUACUGGAAUCCAUUCUUCCAUCUACCUGUGCAAUGUUUCCUGUGUCACUGGCUGCCACACAAGCAUGACAGAUUCACCCCCAUGCUUAACAGUUGGCAAGAAAGACAGAUUAACAAGGUGACAGAUGCAGAGGCAGUGGGAGGUGAUGGCCUGCAGGAACAUAACGGUUUCCCAGAUAAAAAUUCCCCAAAACACGUCACCGUGUCCCAGAGGAGCUGAUCCACACAUUGUAAUGCCAAACUGCUCCAAGUGCUAAUCACAACAUAUUAGGCAGGAUGACUAGUGCCCUAAUUACGAAGUAUACAUUUGUUUGCAAAUGUUUGGGUACUCCUGUGCAAAUCACACAUUUUGUUGAUUUUUGAAGUGAAGUAAAACAACCACUGUAGUAAAUGUUAAAAAAAUAACAUUUUAUGCAAAUGUUAAUCUGCAGUUCAUUUAUAUUCAAUUAACCUAAAAAAUAGAAAAAUAAUACAAUCAUAAUUAUAGCAUGUGCAAAAGUUUUCAAAUUUUGAAUAAAGUCUCAGAACUAAAUUAACUUGUUAGGCCUUGAUUUACUUGUUAGGACUUGUUAUUCAGGUCAAGAAUUGUCAUUAGGAAACUCUUCAAACUUUAUGCUAAAAUCAACAACCAUGAGCUUCUCUAAGCAGCUGACUGAGGAUCUGAAAAUUAAGCUAAUCGAUGCCUACAAAGCAGAGGAAGGCACUUAAGGGGAACUGUGAAAGUCAAGGCUAGAUGUGGAAGGCUAAGAAAAUUCUCAAAUAGAACUGCCUGUAUGCUGGGCAGAAUGGCAAAGCAAAAUCCCCAAAUGACAGCAAGGACCUGCAGGAAUGUUUAGCUGAGACAUGAGUGGUGCACCAUUCUACUCUGUAGCAUUACUUGCACAAACAUGAUCUGCAUGGGACAGUCAUCAGAAGGAAACCUCAUCUGUGACCUUAUCACAAAAGUCGAUGUCUGAAGUAUGCAAAACAACAUGUAGAUAAGCUGAGGCAUUUUGGAAAAAAGUAUUACGUACUCAUGAAUUAAAAUUUUAACUCUUCGGCCGCAAUCACCAAAGGUAUAUUUGGAGAAAAAAGUACGAUUUGAUGAAAAGAACACCUUGCAAACUAUUAAGCCUGGGGUGAAACUAUUAUGCUUGGGGUUGUGUGGCAGCCAGUGGCACAGGAAACAUUGCACAGGUAGAUGGAAGAAUGGAUUCCAGUAAAUAUCAGCAAAUUCUGGAAAAAUAUGUGACAGUCAGUCAAGAGACUUAAGCUGAAAAGAGAAUGGCUUCUACAACAGGACAAUGAUCCAAAACAUACCUCAAAGUCCACCAUUACCUACUUCAAGAAAUGCAAGCUGAAGCUUUUGGAGCGGCCCUCACAGUCCCCUGACUUGAACAUAAUUGAAAAUCCGUGGGUAGAUUUUAAACAUGUUGUGCAUGCAAGAUGGCCCAAAAAUAUUGGUUGAACAUUCCUAAAACAAGAAAUGAAAGAUUCCUAGCUGGCUACAAAAAGUCUUUGCAAGCUGUGAUAUCUGCCAAAGAAGGUGUUACUACGUACUGACUUAGUAGGGCAUCCAAACUUUUGCACCUGCCACAAUUUUUUUCUAUUUUUUAAGUUAAUCAAAUAUAAAGUACUGUGCAUUAACAUUUGGAAAAAUUUUUUUUAUUAUAAUGUUAUUAUUAUGCCUCCACCGGGUCCCUGGAGGACUAAUUGUUAUGCCUCAGCACUCUCACUGCCAUGUCCCCAGUUCGAUUCCUGGCCAGGGAACCAACCCCAGCCACUGGGGUUGCACGAGACAGUGCACUCCCAAUGCUGGUCCCAACCCCAGAUAAAACUGACUUGUGUCAGGAAGAGUAUCUUGCGUAAAAACUGUGCCAAAUCAAAUAUGUGGACCAAUGAUCCACUGUGGAGACCCCUAACGGGACAGCCGAAAGAAGAAGAUUAUUAUGCCUCCACAGCUAGGUGGCAGUAUGCGUCUGCAUCUGUCGAAGUUUCUCAUUAGCACGCUAUCUCAAGAACGAGUGUUUGAAUGGUUGUAGUAUUUAUAUGGAAUUAUCAUUGUAUCCAGCAGAUGAACUGAUAAAAUAUUGGAAUUGAUCCAAACAGGAUCAAAGCCCAGCAAGGUCGAAUGUCCAAAAUAGUUUUUCUUCAAUAGCUUCCUUUCUCUUUGAAGUAUAUUUUAAGGGUAUUUUAGGCAUACAAAUUUGAGGUCUUUACUUCUUUUCACUUCAAAAACCAACAAAAUAUGUGUGGGUGUGGGGUUCCCAAACUUUUGCAUUCAACUGUACAUGAAAAGACCUACAGAUGAAACACGAGGUUUUAACAUUAUAGUAUUUUAACUCGUGAUUCAUGUGGGUGACAAAAAGUGCUUUAUAAAUCUGAUUUACACCAACACCACCUUAAACCUGCACUUUCAUUUGCUAGUUAGCUUCUGUCACUUGUUAGCUUUUACAUGCUAGGUCUUAAAGAGAACACUGGCAGCUGUGUGAUUGAUUAGGAUGGAGCUUAAACAAGCUU